CAGGCGCUCCAUGCGCUCCACAAACCUUUGCAUGUUGCCAUCCAGUGCACGGACCAACCGCGCAUUUGGAACAGAACGCUCACUCCGCACAGAGUCUUGUGCAGUUCGCGACAGCUGGCCUUUGAACUGACAUCAGAUAGUCCACCAAUCAAAGUUGCUAAUGGUGAAUUCACCAUUGAAUUGGAACCAGUAGUCCGAUACGAUUGUACAGGUAGCCUACUUGAAAAUUGCGCAUUGUUCUUCAAGAUCUGCAAAGUUGCAGCUACAUCAGUGGCCCUCAGCUCCCCUCAGCUCCAGACAUGGGUGUGAAGGUGCUCCAGUGCUUCCCCUGGUACAGACGCUGUAAAGAGCGAUGCAAGGCUAAACAGUGCCCCCCACCUGCAGUCCCCAGUGAGGAGAUGAAGCCCCGCCUGUCGUCCACGGUGUCGUGUGGUAGCGAGGGCGAGAGCAGCAGCAGUCUGAGUGGCUCCCAGAUCUACUUCUCCACCAAGGCUCGCCUCUCCUUCAGACACCAGAUGGACAGCAACUUCAACGCAGUGGACGCCACCUGCUGAAUAGAUCAGCCCCGACGUGCCGAGUAGUGUUCAUUAGGCAUCAAACGGAAGAAAAAGGACUGAAAUAGGGAGGGAAUACCUGGGCUUGUCCGAUAAGAAACGCUCAUUUUUGGUUUCCGUUGUGAAACAUUUUUGCUACGGUGUACCCUAAUGAAUAUGACCCUGGCUUACAGUGCUGGGAAUGACACUUUAGUAUCUACUGAUCCCUCCUGUCAUCAUCGCCAUCGCCCCAAAAUGAACUCUCGCCCCUCCGCUAUGACGUCCAUUAUUAUAGCUCAACAGAACAUAGAAUGUAAAGGACUGAGACUUAAUCUACUCAGUGGUACCUAUGUACUCAACGUUCGUUCUCAACUCCCCCUUCAGAAGUGACUGUGAAAAGGAUGGACAUAUCACAGUAGAUUGAGUUCUUCACUAGAGAAAUGCUGAAUGCACUGCUGGUGUGGCUAGUAGAGAUGGAAAAAUGUUUACUACAUCAUUACCAACCAAGUGCAUCAUUUUGCAAAUUCACAACUGCAAAUUCAAGUCUUUAAAAUACAAGCUGUUGAAUAUAAGAAAAUGAUGCUCUCUCAACUUUAAAUAUGGCCUUUUUGGUUUUUAUCCUAACACUAUCCUAACUUGCUGAAAAAACAUGGUAACUAGAUUUUGAUUGGUUUGGCUGAUGAAGAUACUAAUGAGUUUGUGCCUUUUCACCUCUUUUGAACAUUUCCUCAAUUAAAUUCAGUUUGGUGCUGGCUGUCUUCUUCUAGUGCCCUUUUCAACUGGCUGCUUGGAAUGCAUCUACACUUUAUUCAUAUCUAGAAAUGUUAACCUGCAGCUCCUCCAGCUUACGUGCAGCUCUUACCUUUACUUCUGAUGGCAUCUUAUGGGGAACAUCAGUGAAUGGAGGAGAAAGUCAACAGAUUGUUCUGGAAGACAUUUCAACAGUGUUUUGGUGCUUUCGUUGGGUUCUACAACCCACCCUCUAACAGUGAAAUAUUUUCCCUGCUUCACCUACUAGUUUAAGGAUAAUAAAUACUCAUGUUUUUCCACUUCUAA